UACAAAUGAAAUAAAAUAUUUUCUAAGUGAUAGUUAUAAUUCAUUAUUUAUAUAAAUCGCGAAUUAUAUUAUUCUGUAAUUGGUGAUACAAUCUCAAUCGAUAAGAUUGUUGUCAUUUCAAUUGAAAGUUACGAAAUUGAAUUAAAAAGAAA
rnacentral:lncRNA from 1 species